AUAUCAUAAAUAUUUUAAUAUAUACUUCAAACAAAAUGAUUUUAACGUUUUCAUUUCAACCAGAAUGGGUUUUGAAGUAAGUUUUUAAUUCUGGUAUACUCUGAUAUACACAGUGUAUAUCAAUUGUAUAUCAAGUGUAUAUAAUCGACGGUCAGCACUUCUUUUUCACCUAUAAAAAGAGGUCUUUUGAGCUGAUUUUAAACACACAAC
rnacentral:lncRNA from 1 species